GGAGAGAUGGCUGAGCGGUCGAAAGCAACGGUCUUGAAAACCGUCAGGGGCGCAAGCUCCUCCAGGGUUCGAAUCCCUGUCUCUCCGCCA
rnacentral:tRNA from 1 species